GCUUGAAUGGUCAGCUGACAGGAAACUUGCAUUGUAAGGUUCAGAACAAGGUCAGCAGUAAACAGACUGUUAUCAACCUUACAAGCUGUGAAGACACAAGUGUCCAAACCGUGGCUUUGACAAUACAUGUGAUCUGGGUUCUGCUUCUCUCUUUGGCCUUCUUUUCGUUUAUUAAAUGUUUCAAUAAGAAAAGGAGCCCUACAACUCUUAGAGAAGUCAGUACUGAGGUUGCGUACUCAGAUGUUCAAGAGACUCGAGCUGCUUGCAAGCUGGAAGGUUAAGGUGCUAACCACAAUGCCUAAAAUGUCAGAGUAACGCCCUUUGUUUGAAUGUUGGAUGGCUAAAACCUUUUGUAUUUCUUGCCCCCUUUACUUGCUUGUCUGCCUAAAAUAUAUCAGUGUUUGAUCUGUUGUGGGAUUCUUCUGUUGCAAACUGCAGGUCAUGUGAUGAUGAAAAGAAACAAUCCCUUUAACACUUUGGCAGCCUUGACAUUUACGUAUUUCUUUAA